AUUCAAGCACCGGUUCCACUACAAUCCUAGAAAUUAAGCAACGUCGAGGCUGGCCAGUACUUAGAUGGGUGACCACUUGGAAAUACCAAGUGCUGUAAG